UUCCAACACAUCACACGUCAUGUGUGAUGAAUACGUGUUGUGACGGCCCCAGGGCCCUCUACACGCUGUGUCUGUCUGGCAGGUCCCUGGGUGGCUGGGGGCCGUUAGGAGACGCCCAACCUGAAGACAAACGGGGACGUGGUGGUUUAUGUCGUUUGUUCCUUCUUGGUUUCUAUUUAUGGAAUGAAACUUUUUGUUUUAAUACUGGCUGUAAUCAUUGGGGAGCAAGACCGUAACAACGUGAACAUUUACACGUCUGACUACUGCAUGAAAGUAGUAAGACUUCCCGGGUCAGGCCAAGACCAGCGCACGGCUGGUUCACCCACUGGUUAACAACAUUUUAACUUUCACAAUUGAAACAGUAUUUGGCUUGAAAGGUAAGCAGCUAGCUAUGACUGUUUCACUUGCUGUUAGAACGCCCUGACGUUCUCUCCUUGUUGAGCAGCACUACUUUAGGAAAGACGGCGUAGGACCAGAGGAUCACCUUCCUCCUGGACCCGGCUGGGACGCUGAGGACAAUACGUGCUUUCAUUUCAACUCUUUCAGUGGCAGAAAUGUCUUCCACAGCGUCCUCCUGUGGUUAAUAUUAAGUUUAUACUAAACAACCAGGUUCAGUGAUGGUUCAGGGUCAUAACUUGUCUACCUGAACGAGUCCGUAAAACGAUCCGGUCUUCCCGUUAAUAAUUCUCCAUUCUUUCUCUAUCAGCCCUUCAGUCCAUUUAGUCGCUUCUGAUGUGAUUUGUUAGUCUAUUUUUCACAUCGUCCCCAUUACAGACCUCCUUGUAGUCAGUCUCCUUCCCGCCAGUGAAAUGUCCUGCAAAUAACCGUGUGACAAAGUGGGAGACAACUCACCUUUGUGAGUGAGUGUGUGUUGGUGUGUGUGUUGGAUGCUUGCCUUGCUCGGCAGGUGUGCUGGAGGCUAGAGGGGAGGGGCAGGCCGUGAUGUCAGCAGUGACAUCAGCGGGUUGGACCAGGUAUACGGGGGGGAGGGGGGGGUCGUAAUGGGUGUCACCUGUGCACAUGGUGCAACCCGGGCCGGGUUGAUGAAGGUGCAGGACAUUGACUGUUGGGGGGAAAAUGGUGGAACAUGUGUGUAGCUGAGGGCGCGUGUCAGAUGAGCUUAUGUUGAGAUUAUUCAGUUAAUGAAUUAGGUUUUGUUUUGUUGUUUGUGUUUAUGAGACGCGUAUCAGGGACCUUCCUUUUUUUUUGUCUCGUUGCCGGCCUCCUAAUUCCAGGAUUCUCUCGGCCGUGGCAUCCUCGCAAACUACAAGCGACUAAGGGCCAAAGGGGCAGAGGUCAAUAUCUGCUUCCUACACAAGCCUUAGCCUGACGGCUAAAAAAAGGAAUCAUGCUACCUGACAUCUUAGCAGGUAACAUGUCCGUGUUCAUCAUGUGUUGGUGUGGGAUGAAGCGUGUCAGUGACUCUGGACCAACGUGGUCGAGCGUCUUAUAUUUCAUAGUGGCUGUUUAGGGGGGAAAGGAAAGAGCACAAGACAAACGAUGUCUGUGACCUCGUCAGGGAAGGGAAAUAGAUCUGAAAUGGGUGUCGAUAAAUAGGGUGUCGCGUGCGGCUGACGCCAACUAGCUCCACGUAUGACUCACGUCUGCCUAUGUGGCCUUUGCAUAGAGGUCACUGCAGUGGACAGAUAUUCAACUGUUGUUUUCUUGUAUUUCAUGGGUUAUGAUGUCACACAUCAGCCACCACAGUGGAGGCCAUUGCAUCGUCCCACACGCUGCCCCCCAGUGGCAGGCAGUUGUAAGAGCAAGAUACAUUUCUCCAAACCGAGAUGGCUGACAGUCAGUCAGUCAGUCAUCGAUAUUUUGCCAAUCCUUCUAUACAAAGAGACCCUUGGAGGUAUACACGUGUUGGUGACAUCAAGUAACAUCUAAGGAAUUCAUAAAUGUUUCAAGUAUAGAAUUCAUAUUGGGAGGAAAAUAUGACUAAUUAUCUGUCCACUAAAUUCACUAAUGUCAUUCAAGUGGACAUGUUAAAUUAUCUUGAAAAAAUUUGAUUAAAAAAAAAAGUUCAAAUCUUGACGAAUAAAACACUUGGUAAAUCUUAAUUCAUGCAUGAAAAGGAUAUGGUGACGGGUUCCAAUAUCAAGCUAACGAUUGAUGACGCUAGCAUGCUGUCUAGGGUAGUGCUAGGCUAGGCUAAUGUUUAGUCAGUCUAGUAGCUUGCUGUCUAGGGUAGUGCUAGGCUAAUGUUUAGUCAGUCUAGUAGCUUGCGGUCUAGGGUAGUGCUAGGCUAAUGUUUAGUCAGUCUAGUAGCUUGCGGUCUAGGGUAAUGCUAGGCUAGGCUAAUGUUUAGUCAGUCUAGUAGCUUGCUGUCUAGGUAGUGCUAAGCUAGGCUAAUGUUUAGUCAGUCUAGUAGCUUGCUGUCUAGGUAGUGCUAAGCUAGGCUAAUGUUUAGUCAGUCUAGUAGCUUGCUGUCUAGGGUAGUGCUAGGCUAGGCUAAUGUUUAGUCAGUCUAGUAGCUUGCUGUCUAGGGUAAUGCUAGGCUAGGCUAAUGUUUAGUCAGUCUAGUAGCUUGCUGUCUAGGGUAGUUCUAAGCUAGGAUAAUGUUUAGUCAGUCUAGUAGCUUGCUGUCUAGGUAGUGCUAAGCUAGGCUAAUGUUUAGUCAGUCUAGUAGCUUGCUGUCUGGGUAGUGCUAAGCUAGGCUAAUGUUUAGUCAGUCUAGUAGCUUGCUGUCUACGGUAAUGCUAGGCUAGGCUAAUGUUUAGUCAGUCUAGUAGCUUGCUGUCUAGGGUAAUGCUAGGCUAGGCUAAUGUUUAGUCAGUCUAGUAGCUUGCUGUCUAGGGUAGGACAUUGGGAGCUUAUAUGUUUGUACUUAGCUUAUCAAGAGAGAGAAAGAGUAAUGCUGUAUCUUCUCCAUGUGGAUUUAAUAAUGCUAUAUUAAUUACUGACUGCAGAUAAUAUAGUUAGCCAGGCUAUGACAGUAGUAUGUCCACAUUGUCUUAUUCUGUUCAACAAUUUAUAUCAGGGGUUGUAUUGAUAAUGAAUCUUACUACGAGGACGUGGUGGACGUAUAGUCACACUGCUUUUAAAUGUGAUUGUCUUUGUGCCUUUUGUAUGUUCAUGCUGGUGUUGUACGCCACCUCCACCUCCUCAUCACUGGCCAGUCUGUGCACAUUCAUCCUCCUCUUCUGUCUGUGGCUUUCAUAUAUUGAGUGAAUUAAUAAUGAGUGCUCGACCAUGCUUUAAUGUCAGCUUUCACUCUUCGUUCCUCAUUCUCUGUUUAUUCUGCUUUUGGGAGGGUUUUUUACCGCCUGCCUGAGUACACGUUCCUCCCAUUUCAAAAACUAUUUUUUAAAGCAUUUCUGAAUGGAAAUGAAUGACCAAUUUUAAUGGUUUCCUUCAAACACUUUGACCAGAUGUACAGUUAUUGCAACAUAUAAAAUAAAGUACACCACAAUUUGAACAUGUUUUUUAAUAGUCUUUAUUUAUGCCUUCAUCUCUUACACAAGACAUUUCCUAUCAAGACACUAUUAUAUUACCCACAAACCAUGAACGACGCUUCGGUAGUCUUGGCCAUGCAUGGACACGGUUACCAUCCAUCGGCCAGCGAGUUGACCGUGUCACCAACCCACCGACAGCAAUGAAUGUGAACUGGGAACCUGCUGUUUCACGUGGAGUCGUCCCAGCGAGGAGCCAUCCGUGAUGCUGUGGGUAGAUCCGUGGAAGCAGCCGAUGAGGCGUACAUCAUGUGUCCCAACCCUUCAGAGCACCGGUCUAAGUGGUCUGAGGUGGUCCGACCCCGGUGGUCUACCAAGGGCUGUUGCUACUGAACAAGUGAACGAGCUGCUUUCCUUCCGAUCCCUUUUUGAAUGACAGUUGGUUGUGUUUCAUUUCCCACAAUGCAGCUGUGCCAGAGAGAGACCCCUUCCACCCAACGUCACAUUGCAUA
ensembl:lncRNA